AGGGCGCACGGUGGAUGCCUUGGCACUAGAAGCCGAUGAAGGACGUGACUAACGACGAAAUGCUUUGGGGAGCUGUAAGUGAGCAAUGAUCCAGAGAUGUCCGAAUGGGGGAACCCGGCAGGUAAUGCCUGUCACUCAUUACUGUUAAGGUAAUGUAGAGGAAGACGCAGUGAACUGAAACAUCUAAGUAGCUGUAGGAAGAGAAAGCAAAAGCGAUUGCCUUAGUAGCGGCGAGCGAAACGGCAAGAGGGCAAACCGAAGAGUUUACUCUUCGGGGUUGUAGGACUGCAACGUGGACUUAAAGAUUAUAGAAGAACUACCUGGGAAGGUAGGCCAAAGAGAGUAAUAGCCUCGUAUUCGAAAUAGUCUUUAUACCUAGCAGUAUCCUGAGUACGGCGAGACACGAGAAAUCUCGUCGGAAUCUGGGAGGACCAUCUCCCAACCCUAAAUACUCUCUAGUGACCGAUAGUGAACCAGUACCGUGAGGGAAAGGUGAAAAGCACCCCGGGAGGGGAGUGAAAUAGAACCUGAAACCGUGUGCCUACAACAAGUUCGAGCCCGUUAAUGGGUGAGAGCGUGCCUUUUGUAGAAUGAACCGGCGAGUUACGAUAUGAUGCGAGGUUAAGUUGAAGAGACGGAGCCGUAGGGAAACCGAGUCUUAAUAGGGCGCAUUAGUAUCAUGUCGUAGACCCGAAACCAUGUGACCUACCCAUGAGCAGGUUGAAGGUGAGGUAAAACUCACUGGAGGACCGAACCAGGGCACGUUGAAAAGUGCUUGGAUGACUUGUGGGUAGCGGAGAAAUUCCAAACGAACUUGGAGAUAGCUGGUUCUCUCCGAAAUAGCUUUAGGGCUAGCGUCGAUGUUAAGUCUCUUGGAGGUAGAGCACUGUUUGGGUGAGGGGUCCAUCCCGGAUUACCAAUCUCAGAUAAACUCCGAAUGCCAAUGAGAUAUAAUCGGCAGUCAGACUGCGAGUGCUAAGAUCCGUAGUCGAAAGGGAAACAGCCCAGACCACCAGCUAAGGUCCCAAAAUAUAUGUUAAGUGGAAAAGGAUGUGGGGUUGCACAGACAACUAGGAUGUUAGCUUAGAAGCAGCUAUUCAUUCAAAGAGUGCGUAAUAGCUCACUAGUCGAGUGACCCUGCGCCGAAAAUGUACCGGGGCUAAAACAUAUUACCGAAGCUGUGGAUACCUUUAUAGGUAUGGUAGGAGAGCGUUCUAUGUGCGAAGAAGGUGUACCGUGAGGAGUGCUGGAGCGCAUAGAAGUGAGAAUGCCGGUAUGAGUAGCGAAAGACAGGUGAGAAUCCUGUCCACCGUAAGACUAAGGUUUCCAGGGGAAGGCUCGUCCGCCCUGGGUUAGUCGGGACCUAAGGAGAGACCGAAAGGUGUAUCCGAUGGACAACAGGUUGAUAUUCCUGUACUAGAGUAUAUAGUGAUGGAGGGACGCAGUAGGCUAACUAAACCAGACGAUUGGAAGUGUCUGGCCAAGCAGUGAGGUGUGAUAUGAGUCAAAUGCUUAUAUCUUUAACAUUGAGCUGUGAUGGGGAGCGAAGUUUAGUAGCGAAGUUAGUGAUGUCACACUGCCGAGAAAAGCUUCUAGCGUUAAUUAUACUCUACCCGUACCGCAAACCGACACAGGUAGUCGAGGCGAGUAGCCUCAGGUGAGCGAGAGAACUCUCGUUAAGGAACUCGGCAAAAUGGCCCCGUAACUUCGGGAGAAGGGGCGCUGACUGAUGGUCAGCCGCAGUGAAUAGGCCCAAGCAACUGUUUAUCAAAAACACAGCUCUCUGCUAAAUCGUAAGAUGAUGUAUAGGGGGUGACGCCUGCCCGGUGCUGGAAGGUUAAGAGGAGUGCUUAGCGUAAGCGAAGGCAUGAAUUGAAGCCCCAGUAAACGGCGGCCGUAACUAUAACGGUCCUAAGGUAGCGAAAUUCCUUGUCGGGUAAGUUCCGACCCGCACGAAAGGCGUAAUGAUUUGGGCACUGUCUCAACGAGAGACUCGGUGAAAUUUUAGUACCUGUGAAGAUGCAGGUUACCCGCGACAGGACGGAAAGACCCCAUGGAGCUUUACUGCAGUUUGAUAUUGAGUAUCUGUACCACAUGUACAGGAUAGGUAGGAGCCUAUGACCUCGGGACGCCAGUUUCGAGUGAGGCGUUGUUGGGAUACUACCCUUGUGUUAUGGCUAUCUAACCCAGAUAGGUUAUCCCUAUCGGAGACAGUGUCUGACGGGCAGUUUGACUGGGGCGGUCGCCUCCUAAAAGGUAACGGAGGCGCCCAAAGGUUCCCUCAGAAUGGUUGGAAAUCAUUCGCAGAGUGUAAAGGUAUAAGGGAGCUUGACUGCGAGAGCUACAACUCGAGCAGGGACGAAAGUCGGGCUUAGUGAUCCGGUGGUUCCGUAUGGAAGGGCCAUCGCUCAACGGAUAAAAGCUACCCUGG
rnacentral:rRNA from 1 species